GUCUUUCUUGACAAUUUUCAGAUAGUCCAGAGGACCCUUGGAAUGUCCAGGAAAGAGAGAGCACAACUGGAGAAGGUGGUAAUUUUACCAAGGCUUGGACUGGAAGGGUCCAAGAGCUCCGAGUUUAUCUUGGGACCUUAAGAGGAGAGGAUCAUCCAACUCACAGGUCAUCAAACUCGAAGUGGCCAUGCAACCAGAGCCUCUGAUGAUGGCCCCUUCUGCUCAGAACCUUACAUAGGCCUCUGAGGGAGCUUUGACUGCCGUUUCCCCAAAACAGCACCCCUGUCAGCAGGAAGCAGUUAAGAUAGGUCUUCAUACUUACCCUUAUUCAAGGGCACUUGGAUGUGCUUCUUUAGAGGGGGGAAUGAGACAGCCAAGUGGGAGGGGGUCCCUGGAAAAUCUCCAACCAGCCUGCACACUGGGGUGGAGCCUUGGGAAGUUCAUGCCAUUUGCAGCAGGGAGGAGCCUGGCUCCUUCUCUCUCUGUGUGGAACCUGGGAUUCAAGUUUUGAGCGGCAAGCGCUCUAGCAGGGACUCUGGCCUUGUGAGAGUCCCUGUUUCCCCCCUUUCUUUCUUUACAUCCAAUAAAACCCUGUCUUACUCACCA